rnacentral:rRNA from 1 species
AUUGAACGCUGGCGGCAGGCCUAACUCAUGCAAGUCGAACGAGUGGCGGACGGGUGAGUCAUGUCUGGGAAACUGCCUUAUGGCGGGGGAUAACUACUGGAAACGGUAGCUCAUACCGCAUACCAUCGGAUGUGCCCAGAUGGGAUUAGCUAGUAGGUGGGGUAACGGCUCACCUAGGGGACGAUCCCUAGCUGGUCUGAGAGGAUGACCAGCCACACUGGAACGGAGACACGGUCCAGAAUCCUACGGUGGGCAGCAGUGGGGAAUAUUGCACAAUGGGCGCAAGCCUGAUGCAGCCAUGCCGCGUGUAUGAAGAAGGCCUUCGUGUUUUAAAGUACUUUCAGCGGGGAGGCGUUACCCGCAGAAGAAGCACCGGCUAACUCCGUGCCAGCAGCCGCGGUAAUAC